AUCGCCUCUCUGCCUUCUGGCCAACAUUAAGGGUAGUAUCUGUUAGGGGGCGUAUCAGACAUGAAACUAUCUGGGAGCUAUAUAUUGUAUGAAAAUUUAGAACAGGGAGAUGGGUAAAGAGCUUGCUCUGUCCACUCUGCAAUAACUGGGUACUACUGACAUUCUCUGCUUUCAGAGCUUAUGAUUA